GGGAUCUCGGCUCACCGCAACCUUCGCCUCCUGGGUUCAAGAGAUUCUCCUGGCCCAGCCUCCCGAGUAGCUGGCAUUACAGGCAUGUGCCACCACACCCGGCUAAUUUUGUAUUUUUAGUAGAGACGGGGUUUCUCCGUGUUGGUCAGGCUAGUCUUGAACUCUCGACCUCAGGUGAUCCGCCCGCCUCAGCCUCCCAGACUGCUGGGAUUACAGGCAUGAGCCACCACGCCCGGCCUUAAAGUAUUUUUUAAUGUGUCUAAAUUUUUAUAUUGUCCCUUUAAGGUAUACUUAUGCCCUGCAAAGUAAUUAUACACAAACCAAUAAGCUAAGAAAGAAUGAAAGGAGUAAUAAUUUUUGGUGCUACUUUAACUGUGAAUUUAGAGUAGGAAGCUUUUUUUGCAAGUAUAUUUUUUGUAUAAAAUUAAGAAAAUAUAUAAAAUAAUUGUAUCCCCCUUUUUUAAAUAUUUUUACCUCUUACUCUUUUCAGGUUCUAAAAUGUGACUUAAUUAUGAAGGUUAUUAGCAAGAAGUGGCAUUUCCAAAAGUUUCAGCACUGAUACCACUACAAUUACAACUACAAUACCACUGAUACCACUGAUAAUUUGCUUCUUCUUUCUCUCCUCUGUCCACAUUUUUAGAGUUGAAGUAUAUUUUUAGAGUUGAAUUUUAAUAUUUAUUUUUGGGGAAGUAAUUUUGAAGAGUCAGACAUGAAGGGUGAUUGUCAAAUUUCUUCUUUGUUUACAAUUUAGGUUGAUUGUUAAUGACAAUUUGUGUACUGGACUGCUGUGAUGCAAUGGAGUCUGAGACUGGGUUAUGGCUCAGCUAGAAAGGGUAUUGUGACCAAUUUAUGAUGUUUGCCAUAGUCCUGGAAGGUGGCAGUAUUUAUGUCAAUCAUUUUCCAUCUUUAUUUUCAGCAUCCCUGGAGCCCCAAUCUAAUAAAGUCCUCAAAUCACCUAUGUGCUGCUUUAAAUUACCAGCUGUUAUAAGGAUACCCAGACAAAUCUGGUAUUCCAUCAUUUUUGUCUUUCUGAAGAGGAUUUUCCUGGAAAUUUCUGACCUCCUGUCCUGUGAACAAAUUAUCCUGUAGGUUUUGUAUCAACUGUCAUCAUCCUGGCCUGUCCCCUCACCGUUACCCUGGGGACUCUUCGCAUCUUUCCUCUGUCCUAUCUAUUGUUUCCUGUGUCUCAUCUUCCUGUCUUAGUUUAUUCUUUUAUUUUGGUGACACUCAUCCCUCUGUAUCUUUCAAAUAAAUGCUACUUUGCAACUAAAUUUUUGAAUGAUCUUGUAUCUGAAAAUAUACCUUUUACUUUGUUGAUGGUUUCCUGACUACCGAAUUCUAGAUUGAAAGUUUUUUUCCUCAGUGUUUUGAAAGAAUUGUUUUUGUUUUUUCUCCUCUGGAAGCUUGUAGUACACUAGGUACCGAAAUUUCUCUAUAAUGUGCUUUGAUGUGGGUUUAUUUCUAUCCG
rnacentral:lncRNA from 10 species